GCUUCCACAACUGAAUGGUUAAAACAGCCAACUCAUAAUUGGCAAAUUUGUUGGUUCAAUUCCUAUUGGAUGCA